AAACAAGCAAACGAAGGCAAAAGAAGUGAGUUUGAAAAAAAUGCCAGUGAGGAGUGGUAACAUAGGUGCACACAACUUUCCUAAACUGGAAACCAAGGUGCAUCAUGUUUACCAGAUGACAGUCAACAGAAUCUGGGGAAAACACAGUGGUGUGACAAGCUGCCAGGAAGAAAGAGAAGUGGAAUGGGAGGAGAAAAGGGGCAGAAUUGAGCAGAGAGCUAAAUCUCAUUCACAUCUCCCCAGACCCAAUUGUUCAUCCCAAGUUGGUGAACACCAUCAUCCUGCUGUGGGUUUGUGAUUGAUUUUAGCCAUCGGACAGAAGCCUAGGGACAUGAGCAAAACUCUGACAACAAGGAGAGAGCAUUUCUGUGUGAUGUAAUAAACUGGGAUACAAAGCUAUUAAACUGGCAAAAAAAACCUGUAUUGCCGUCAGCACAACCUAACGAUUACAGCCCCAUGAUGUCAUUUUGGCUGAGAUGCUUCAAAAUGGAGACAUCACAGUAAACUACACUGAGUCUAUUGCAUAAAGUAUCCUAAUGGGACUCUGUCACUGAAAAAAAAACGGAGAUACUUGUGGAGUUCUGAGGAGUUAUAAUUCUUUAUGGCAGAAGAUUUAGGUCCUUAAGGACUCAUUACAGAUACACGUUUAUUCUAUGCCAUCUCCCUAUUCAAAAACUGGAAAUUACACACUACCUGGCUGGGCUGUGAGCUGUAAUAGAACAAAAAAUAUCGACCGCCUGGAGAUUUUCAAGGACUCGGGUGGGAAACUCUGCCGUAAGGCACAACUAGGGGAUGACAACAAGGCUUUUCGAAAAAUUUCUUUUGUGUUGUCUCAGAGAGAGUCCUGAGGGUGAAUGUCCCAGCUGGUUACUCAGACAGUGGUGUGGGGGUGUGUGUGUGUGUGUGUGUGUGUGUGUGUGUGUGUGUGUGUGUGUGUGUGUGUGUGUGUGUGUGUGUGUGUGUGUGUGUGUGUGUGUGUGUGUGUGUGUGUGUGUGUGUGUGUGUGUGUGUGAGAGAGAGAGAGAGAGAGAGAGAGAGACAGAGAGAGAGAGAGAGAGGAGGGAAAGCUGCCUGGUGUGCCUGAUCUAAUCCACCUGCCUGUGUUGGACUGCGCUCGCCCAGCUUAUCUCAGGCUUAAAGGAGCUCUCACUGCUGUUAUAGCAUGGAAAAAGCAAACGCCUUAUUUCCUACUAUUUGUAUUUACAAAAUUAGUUUUAAAUGUUUUAAAUGGUUGUUUAUUCAUAUGUACAUAUGUUUAGGGCUUAGUUCAUUGUGACCAGUUCCGCUAAAGCCCUAAGGCAUUAUUGUUUAUGCUGAUGGACAAACCAUCUGGUGAAGCUGAAUCUGCAUGAUUUGAAAUGAG
ensembl:lncRNA